rnacentral:pre_miRNA from 1 species
GAGAGCAGUGCAGGAUCCUGGGCUGUGUCUGCCGGCGCGCUGGGAUCUGGGGCGUGCGCCGCUGGAAUCACGCUCCCGGAGCUGCGGCUCCC